AACUAGACCUGAUUGAAAUGGCAUUCCGGUGUUCGAUCAAUUAUCUUUCCGGAAAAUUCACCGGAAUAUAAUGGAAAGCAGGACUGGAG
rnacentral:sRNA from 1 species